GGGGAAUUAGCUCAGUUGGCUAGAGCGCUACACUGGCAGUGUAGAGGUCAGCGGUUCGAAUCCGCUAUUCUCCA
rnacentral:tRNA from 1 species